AUUGAACGCUGGCGGCAGGCCUAACACAUGCAAGUCGAGCGAGCGGCGGACGGGUGAGUAAUGUCUGGGAAACUGCCUGAUGGAGAGGGAGAACUACUGGAAACGGUAGAUAAUACCGCAUACCAUCAGAUGUGCCCAGAUGGGAUUAGCUAGUCGGUGGGGUAACGGCUCACCUAGGCGACGCUCCCUAGCUGGUCUGAGAGGAUGACCAGCCACACUGGAACUGAGAAACGGUCCAGACUCCUACGGGAGGCAGCAGUGGGGAAUAUUGCACAAUGGGCGCAAGCCUGAUGCAGCCAUGCCGCGUGUGUGAAGAAGGCCUUCGGGUUGUAAAGCACUUGCAGCGGGGAGGCGUUACCCGCAGAAGAAGCACCGGCUAACUCCGUGCCAGCAGCCGCGGUAAUAC
rnacentral:rRNA from 1 species